GGGUGGUCGGCGGCGUCACUUAGGCCUUUGUGUUCAUACCUCUUACUGUGUGCUACUGCGGGUAGGGUCGGGGUGACCCUCCCUGCCUCCGGGGGUGGGCGGGUCGGCUCCCACCCGAGGAUAACCUUGCUCUGAUUUAACGACUUUUCUUCUGAUUGAAACAUUUAAAUAAUCAAAACUUUUAACAACGGAUCUCUUGGUUCUGGCAUCAAUGAGAACGCAAUGUGAAUUGCAAGUAAUGUGAAUUGUCAAUUCUUUGAAUCAUAUUGCUUUGAACGGACAUUGCGGGGGCCAGCCUUCUGGAGGGCAUGUUUGUUCUCAAGUCUUUUCUUGGUUUUGGGUCUGCUUGGUGUUGGGGCCCCUCAAAUCGACCGGGUGGGUCUUCUGUCCCCCGGACCCUCCGGGACUAUUCUUUAAAGGGUGCUUUGGAUGCUACACUGUGAUCCGGACCGACUCUUGCGUUGACCCCCGAAUUCUCCGGAUACUGACCUCAACUUAAGGAAAUAAUACCCGCCGAAGAAAAAGC
rnacentral:rRNA from 1 species